rnacentral:rRNA from 1 species
GGAUCCAGACUUUGAUUAUGGCUCAGGAUGAACGCUAGCUACAGGCUUAACACAUGCAAGUCGAGGGGAAACGACAUCGAAAGCUUGCUUUUGAUGGGCGUCGACCGGCGCACGGGUGAGUAACGCGUAUCCAACCUGCCCAUCACUUGGGGAUAACCUUGCGAAAGUAAGACUAAUACCCAAUGAUAUCUCUAGAAGACAUCUGAAGGAGAUUAAAGAUUCAUCGGUGAUGGAUGGGGAUGCGUCUGAUUAGCUUGUUGGCGGGGUAACGGCCCACCAAGGCGACGAUCAGUAGGGGUUCUGAGAGGAAGGUCCCCCACAUUGGAACUGAGACACGGUACAAACUCCUACGGGAGGCAGCAGUGAGGAAUAUUGGUCAAUGGACGAGAGUCUGAACCAGCCAAGUAGCGUGCAGGAUGACGGCCCUAUGGGUUGUAAACUGCUUUUAUAAGGGAAUAAAGUGAGUCUCGUGAGACUUUUUGCAUGUACCUUAUGAAUAAGGACCGGCUAAUUCCGUGCCAGCAGCCGCGGUAAUACGGAAGGUCCGGGCGUUAUCCGGAUUUAUUGGGUUUAAAGGGAGCGUAGGCCGGAGAUUAAGCGUGUUGUGAAAUGUAGACGCUCAACGUCUGCACUGCAGCGCGAACUGGUUUCCUUGAGUACGCACAAAGUGGGCGGAAUUCGUGGUGUAGCGGUGAAAUGCUUAGGUAUCACGAAGAACUCCGAUUGCGAAGGCAGCUCACUGGAGCGCAACUGACGCUGAAGCUCGAAAGUGCGGGUAUCGAACAGGAUUAGAUACCCUGGUAGUCCGCACGGUAAACGAUGGAUGCCCGCUGUUGGUCUGAAUAGGUCAGCGGCCAAGCGAAAGCAUUAAGCAUCCCACCUGGGGAGUACGCCGGCAACGGUGCAACUCAA